CAAGCCAAACAGUUUGAGCAAGAAGUCCAUAACUCAAUCAACUGUGCCACCUGCUGGUUGAUAAAGGAAGUGCAUGGUAAAGCAGUGUUCCAGACCUCCGGGAUGACGGCCAUCGGAGGUCAUGACUGUGCCGCUGCAGGGCCCUCUGACACAUGGUUUCAGGGGAAGAGGGACAUCCUGAGUGAUCAUGUGAUGAGGGGAAAAUGAGUAACUCUUCUGAAGGGUUGGAAUAGCAGGGUUCACCCUAUCAGACAGACAGCACCAGCUCCACAUGACAAGCUGCAUUACCCUCAGCUUCCUCACGGCGUUAAGGACAGAUGCAGCCAUGACAGAAUCAGCUAGCAUCCUCAGACUGACCUCUGCUGGACAUUUACCGAUGGCGAGCAAAACAAAUGCAAGCAUGCACUAAAUCAGGUUGCUUGACAGGUCGCAUUACACUUAAACAGCAAGAUUGCAUCAUCACUCCUAUUUAGUUUCAAA